UACGGAGGAUCCAAGCGUUAUCCGGAUUUAUUGGGUUUAAAGGGUGCGUAGGUGGCUGUUUAAGUCAGUGGUGAAAGCCUGUCGCUCAACGAUAGGACUGCCAUUGAUACUGAAUAGCUUGAGUACUGAUGAGGUAGGCGGAAUUGAUAGUGUAGCGGUGAAAUGCAUAGAUAUUAUCAAGAACACCGAUUGCGAAGGCAGCUUACUAAGGAGUUACUGACACUGAGGCACGAAAGCGUGGGGAUCAAACAGG
rnacentral:rRNA from 1 species